ensembl:lncRNA
GGCAACUCCACUUAUCGCAGAGCCAACCGGAAUCUCUUCUGACGAGCAAGGUGGGCUCCCUCUGCUACACGGGGGCGAUGGCUGUACACGAGUGCUGGCUGUCAUAGCACGAUGAGGUUCACCGUGGCGGCUGUCCAGGCUCUGGCGACGUCUGACUGGUGACCGGAGCCGGUUUAGAGUGAGCUGGCUGUGGAGCCUGCUUAGGCCCCGUCCACACACGAAGCCGGUUUUGCCGACCGUCCAGACGGAGCCGGCGAAUCCGGUGCCCGAAACCGCACAUUUCUGAAACCAUCCUCGGAGAUGGGGUUUCAAAUCCAUACGGACCAAUGUUUCAUGUUAGGAGCAUGUAUCAGGGUUGGCUUAGCUCAGGAGGUAGAGCAGUCGUCUUGUAACCAAAAGGUUCC